rfam:Camelus ferus unplaced genomic scaffold scaffold1389, whole genome shotgun sequence.
GAGGGUAUAGCUCAGUGGUAGAGCGCAUGCUUAGCAUGCACAAGGUCCUGGGUUCAAUCCCUGGUACCUCCA